UGGGGAAUAUUGGACAAUGGGCGCAAGCCUGAUCCAGCCAUGCCGCGUGAGUGAUGAAGGCCCUAGGGUUGUAAAGCUCUUUCACCGGUGAAGAUAAUGACGGUAACCGGAGAAGAAGCCCCGGCUAACUUCGUGCCAGCAGCCGCGGUAAUACGAAGGGGGCUAGCGUUGUUCUGAUUUACUGGGCGUAAAGCGCACGUAGGCGGACUUUUAAGUCAGGGGUGAAAUCCCGGGGCUCAACCCCGGAACUGCCUUUGAUACUGGAAGUCUUGAGUAUGGUAGAGGUGAGUGGAAUUCCGAGUGUAGAGGUGAAAUUCGUAGAUAUUCGGAGGAACACCAGUGGCGAAGGCGGCUCACUGGACCAUUACUGACGCUGAGGUGCGAAAGCGUGGGGAGCAAACAGG
rnacentral:rRNA from 1 species